UACGAAGGGGGCGAGCGUUGUUCGGAUUUACUGGGCGUAAAGGGCGCGCAGGCGGCUCAUUUUGUCAGGCGUGAAAGCCCCGGGCUUAACCUGGGAACUGCGUUUGAUACGGAUGGGCUAGAGUUCGGGAGAGGAGAGUGGAAUUCCCAGUGUAGAGGUGAAAUUCGUAGAUAUUGGGAAGAACACCAGUGGCGAAGGCGGCUCACUGGCUCGUAACUGACGCUCAGGCGCGACAGCGUGGGGAGCAAACAGG
rnacentral:rRNA from 1 species